CUAGUUUCCACAAACAGGGCUGGAAGACAUCAGAUCUUGCCUUGGUCCUGAGAUGGACUCCAGGCUCUUCUGUGUGGCCUUGAGUCUCCUGUGUGCAAAACACAUGGAGGCUGCAGUCACCCAAGACCCAAGAAGCAAGGUGACAGUAACAGGAAGAAAAGUGACACUGAACUGUCGCCAGACUUACAACCACAACAAUAUGUACUGGUAUCGGCAGGACCCGGGUCAUGGACUGAAGCUGAUCCAUUACUCAUAUGGUGCUGACAACAUUGAGAAAGGAGAUGUCCCUGAUGGGUACACGGUUACCAGACCAAACCAAGAGAACUUCUCCCUCAUUCUGGAGAUGGCUUCCCCCUCUCAGACAGCUGUGUACUUCUGUGCCAGCAGUGAUGCACAGCAAUGUGUGGCUGUCUCCCCUUUGCACAUAAAGUAAAUUAGGAAGACAAGUUUCCUGUGUGCCUCAGGAAGUCCCUGCCUUUUAAGAGUCAUUGAGCUCUAACAAACCAGGAACAUUUCAGCAUGGGUCUCAGCCUCACUGAAGUCCAUUCUAAUUCCUUUUCAUGGCUGCUUGUCUCAAAUCCACCCCUUGUUUCUGCUUACAGAAAGAAACCUGAAUUCUUAACUGAAGUCCUGAUGAUAAGCUGACAGUCACUAUCUCCCUCCCUGUGGACUUCAAGUUAACUCUUCAACCACUUUACUAUCCACCUGAGUCACAUAUUAUGAACUCUUCAGACUGUGUUUACUCUAUAGGUCAGUAGCCCUUUUUAUUCUACAGGACAGUAGCCCAUAAGGUCCUAUGUCAUUUUCUUCACUCAUCUCUAUCACCAGCUUUACCCAGCCUUCCCUGUUCUUUCCUCUACAGCUGAACUUGUCUGCAUUCCAUUACUUCCUCAUAUGUGUUGUGCUGUUUUCAAAUAUAGAGACAUUUCCUAGGACAUUUCUUCUGCACUGAAGUCAUGCCUUUCCCUCUUCCUCUGGAUCUCUACUUCCCAUGAACAUCUAUUUAGAUUGGAUUAUUUUUCUAAGAUUUUAAUGUAAUUAUAUUAUUUCUUCUCUUACUUCUUCCUCUAGUCCCUCACAUUAUUCUCUCCUCUUUCAAA